GACGAACCGUGCGAACGUUAUUCGGAAUCACUGGGCUUAAAGCGCGUGUAGGCGGGCCGGUGCGUCGGUCGCUGAAAUCCCCCGGCUCAACCGGGGAAGCGGCGCCGAGACGACCGGCCUCGAGGGACGUAGGGGGAGCUGGAACUUCCGGUGGAGCGGUGAAAUGCGUUGAGAUCGGAAGGAACGCCCGUGGCGAAAGCGAGCUCCUGGACGUUUUCUGACGCUGAGACGCGAAAGCCAGGGGAGCGAACGG
rnacentral:rRNA from 1 species